GACCUUCCCCUUUCAACUAAUACCUAACCUAUCCUUUCACCUCUUCCAACCGUCACCAUACAACGCCUCCAAUUAAAACGACACAAAACAACAACGCGACUCCCUUCCCGGAAAAUCCAACUGCAAAAAAUCUUCCAGACUGAACACACACUCUCUCUCUCUCUCUCCAAAGGGUUAAUUGGGCCGCCUCAGUCCUAUGGAUCUCAUAGACUAUCAUAGUAAUGGUUUCAGAAAGAGGGCAAUGCUUGAAAGGCUUGGUAAAGACAUACAAAAGGAGCAGCUCAAAAUCACCCUAUGGAAUGGUAGAUGUCAAAAUUGGCAUGGGAGUAAGAGAUGUCAAAGCUACGUCAGCUUUGGCAUGAUUGAAGGCAGAUGGGUUGGAUUGAAAGUUGAUGCCCAAAAUGAUCGUUAACUUGUCCAUCUCAGCUUUGACAUCUCCCAUUGGAGAUGCUCUAAGGUAUCUUUAAUACUUUGAUUGUUAAUUUUAUAGUGCCCACAUUCAUAAGUGAUAAGAGUGUUUCCCUGUGCUGCCAAUAAUCCCACAAUUUAGAGUGACUUUCUUUAGAAAGAAUUGUUUAUCAUUUAAAAUGAUAUGAGCUCGAAUAUGGUUAUUGAAAAUGAAUACAUUAUAUGUGACAUUUGAGUCUGUUGUAAAUACAUUUGGUUGGAGAUUGAUAAUCCCACCAUCUAGAGAUUGAUACGCUUCUCAAAGUCAAGAGGGGAGACAGAGGAAAAGUUCAAAGUUCAGGUACCCAUGAUCAUUGAAGGUAUCUUCCGUUUGAAUCACAUGGAGCUAGAUCAUUCUUGGACUCAUUUACAAGUCAGAAUCAUGCAGCCACUUGACAAACUAAUAACAUUUGGUGUUAUCUUCCCUGCUCUUCUUGGCCAUUAGAAGGGUUUUUGUAUUCUUGUUUAUGCUUUCCAGUAAUUGAGGGGUCCAA